rnacentral:rRNA from 1 species
AUUGAACGCUGGCGGCAGGCCUAACACAUGCAAGUCGAACGAGUGGCGGACGGGUGAGUAAUGUCUGGGAAACUGCCUGAUGGAGGGGGAAAACUACUGGAAACGGUAGCUAAUACCGCAUACCAUCAGAUGUGCCCCGAUGGGAUUAGCUAGUUGGUGGGGUAAGGGCUCACCAGGGAGACGAUCCCUAGCUGGUGUGAGAGGAUGACCAGCCACACUGGAACUGAGACACGGGCCAGACUCCUACGGGAGGCAGCAGUGGGGAAUAUUGCACAAUGGGCGCAAGCCUGAUGCAGCAAGGCCGCGUGUAUGAAGAAGGCCUUCGGGUUGUAAAGUACGUUCAGCGGGGAGGCGUUACCCGCAGAAGAAGCACCGGCUAACUCCGUGCCAGCAGCCGCGGUAAUUC